rnacentral:rRNA from 1 species
GGGUUGUGAGGUUAAGCGACUAAGCGUACACGGUGGAUGCCCUGGCAGUCAGAGGCGAUGAAGGACGUGCUAAUCUGCGAUAAGCGUCGGUAAGGUGAUAUGAACCGUUAUAACCGGCGAUUUCCGAAUGGGGAAACCCAGUGUGAUUCGUCACACUAUCAUUAACUGAAUCCAUAGGUUAAUGAGGCGAACCGGGGGAACUGAAACAUCUAAGUACCCCGAGGAAAAGAAAUCAACCGAGAUUCCCCCAGUAGCGGCGAGCGAACGGGGAGGAGCCCAGAGCCUGAAUCAGUGUGUGUGUUAGUGGAAGCGUCUGGAAAGGCGCGCGAUACAGGGUGACAGCCCCGUACACAAAAAUGCACAUAUUGUGAGCUCGAUGAGUAGGGCGGGACACGUGGUAUCCUGUCUGAAUAUGGGGGGACCAUCCUCCAAGGCUAAAUACUCCUGACUGACCGAUAGUGAACCAGUACCGUGAGGGAAAGGCGAAAAGAACCCCGGCGAGGGGAGUGAAAAAGAACCUGAAACCGUGUACGUACAAGCAGUGGGAGCCUCUUUUAUGGGGUGACUGCGUACCUUUUGUAUAAUGGGUCAGCGACUUAUAUUCUGUAGCAAGGUUAACCGAAUAGGGGAGCCGAAGGGAAACCGAGUCUUAACUGGGCGUUAAGUUGCAGGGUAUAGACCCGAAACCCGGUGAUCUAGCCAUGGGCAGGUUGAAGGUUGGGUAACACUAACUGGAGGACCGAACCGACUAAUGUUGAAAAAUUAGCGGAUGACUUGUGGCUGGGGGUGAAAGGCCAAUCAAACCGGGAGAUAGCUGGUUCUCCCCGAAAGCUAUUUAGGUAGCGCCUCGUGAAUUCAUCUCCGGGGGUAGAGCACUGUUUCGGCAAGGGGGUCAUCCCGACUUACCAACCCGAUGCAAACUGCGAAUACCGGAGAAUGUUAUCACGGGAGACACACGGCGGGUGCUAACGUCCGUCGUGAAGAGGGAAACAACCCAGACCGCCAGCUAAGGUCCCAAAGUCAUGGUUAAGUGGGAAACGAUGUGGGAAGGCCCAGACAGCCAGGAUGUUGGCUUAGAAGCAGCCAUCAUUUAAAGAAAGCGUAAUAGCUCACUGGUCGAGUCGGCCUGCGCGGAAGAUGUAACGGGGCUAAACCAUGCACCGAAGCUGCGGCAGCGACACUAUGUGUUGUUGGGUAGGGGAGCGUUCUGUAAGCCUGUGAAGGUGUACUGUGAGGUAUGCUGGAGGUAUCAGAAGUGCGAAUGCUGACAUAAGUAACGAUAAAGCGGGUGAAAAGCCCGCUCGCCGGAAGACCAAGGGUUCCUGUCCAACGUUAAUCGGGGCAGGGUGAGUCGACCCCUAAGGCGAGGCCGAAAGGCGUAGUCGAUGGGAAACAGGUUAAUAUUCCUGUACUUGGUGUUACUGCGAAGGGGGGACGGAGAAGGCUAUGUUGGCCGGGCGACGGUUGUCCCGGUUUAAGCGUGUAGGCUGGUUUUCCAGGCAAAUCCGGAAAAUCAAGGCUGAGGCGUGAUGACGAGGCACUACGGUGCUGAAGCAACAAAUGCCCUGCUUCCAGGAAAAGCCUCUAAGCAUCAGGUAACAUCAAAUCGUACCCCAAACCGACACAGGUGGUCAGGUAGAGAAUACCAAGGCGCUUGAGAGAACUCGGGUGAAGGAACUAGGCAAAAUGGUGCCGUAACUUCGGGAGAAGGCACGCUGAUAUGUAGGUGAAGUCCCUCGCGGAUGGAGCUGAAAUCAGUCGAAGAUACCAGCUGGCUGCAACUGUUUAUUAAAAACACAGCACUGUGCAAACACGAAAGUGGACGUAUACGGUGUGACGCCUGCCCGGUGCCGGAAGGUUAAUUGAUGGGGUCAGCGCAAGCGAAGCUCUUGAUCGAAGCCCCGGUAAACGGCGGCCGUAACUAUAACGGUCCUAAGGUAGCGAAAUUCCUUGUCGGGUAAGUUCCGACCUGCACGAAUGGCGUAAUGAUGGCCAGGCUGUCUCCACCCGAGACUCAGUGAAAUUGAACUCGCUGUGAAGAUGCAGUGUACCCGCGGCAAGACGGAAAGACCCCGUGAACCUUUACUAUAGCUUGACACUGAACAUUGAGCCUUGAUGUGUAGGAUAGGUGGGAGGCUUUGAAGUGUGGACGCCAGUCUGCAUGGAGCCGACCUUGAAAUACCACCCUUUAAUGUUUGAUGUUCUAACGUUGACCCGUAAUCCGGGUUGCGGACAGUGUCUGGUGGGUAGUUUGACUGGGGCGGUCUCCUCCUAAAGAGUAACGGAGGAGCACGAAGGUUGGCUAAUCCUGGUCGGACAUCAGGAGGUUAGUGCAAUGGCAUAAGCCAGCUUGACUGCGAGCGUGACGGCGCGAGCAGGUGCGAAAGCAGGUCAUAGUGAUCCGGUGGUUCUGAAUGGAAGGGCCAUCGCUCAACGGAUAAAAGGUACUCCGGGGAUAACAGGCUGAUACCGCCCAAGAGUUCAUAUCGACGGCGGUGUUUGGCACCUCGAUGUCGGCUCAUCACAUCCUGGGGCUGAAGUAGGUCCCAAGGGUAUGGCUGUUCGCCAUUUAAAGUGGUACGCGAGCUGGGUUUAGAACGUCGUGAGACAGUUCGGUCCCUAUCUGCCGUGGGCGCUGGAGAACUGAGGGGGGCUGCUCCUAGUACGAGAGGACCGGAGUGGACGCAUCACUGGUGUUCGGGUUGUCAUGCCAAUGGCACUGCCCGGUAGCUAAAUGCGGAAGAGAUAAGUGCUGAAAGCAUCUAAGCACGAAACUUGCCCCGAGAUGAGUUCUCCCUGACCCUUUAAGGGUCCUGAAGGAACGUUGAAGACGACGACGUUGAUAGGCCGGGUGUGUAAGCGCAGCGAUGCGUUGAGCUAACCGGUACUAAUGAACCGUGAGGCUUAACCUUACAACGCCGAAG